rnacentral:rRNA from 1 species
UAGGGAAUAUUAGUAAUGGGCGAAAGCCUGAACUAGCAACGCCGCGUGUGCGAAGAAGGCCUUCGGGUUGUAAAGCACUUUUUGAGAGGAUGAGGAAGGACGGUACUCUCAGAAUAAGUCUCGGCUAACUACGUGCCAGCAGCCGCGGUAACACGUAGGAGGCGAACGUUAUCCGGAUUUACUGGGCGUAAAGCGCGUGUAGGUGGUUUGGUAAGUAGGGCGUGAAAGCUCCUGGCUCAACUGGGAGAGGCCGUUCUAAACUGCCGAACUAGAGGAUGGGAGAGGGAGGUGGAAUGCCGGGUGUAGCGGUGGAAUGCGCAGAUAUCCGGAGGAACACCAGUGGCGAAAGCGGCCUCCUGGACCAUUCCUGACACUCAGACGCGAAAGCUAGGGGAGCGAACGG